CGGAGCAUGUUGCUUAAUUAGAGGCAACGCGAAGAACCUUACCUGGGUUUGACAUUUAGGAAAAAGCCACAAAAAUGUGGUGUCCUUCGGGGCCCUAAACAGGUGGUGCAUGGCUGUCGUCAGCUCGUGUCGUGAGAUGUUGGGUUAAGUCCCGCAACGAGCGCAACCCUUAUCCUAUGUUGCCAGCACGUAAUGGUGGGGACUCGUGGGAGACUGCCGGGGUCAACUCGGAGGAAGGUGGGGACGACGUCAAGUCAUCAUGCCCCUUAUGUCCAGGGCUGCAAACAUGCUACAAUGGCCGGUACAGAGGGCUGCGAGACCGCGAGGUUGAGCGAAUCCCACAAAGCCGGUCUCAGUUCGGAUUGGAGUCUGCAACUCGACUCCAUGAAGCCGGAGUCGCUAGUAAUCCCGGAUCAGCAACGCCGGGGUGAAUACGUUCCCGGGCCUUGUACACACCGCCCGUCACACCACGAAAGUCUGCAACACCCGAAGCCAGUGGCCCAACCCGCAAGGGAGGGAGCUGUCGAAGGUGGGGUCGGCGAUUGGGGUG
rnacentral:rRNA from 1 species